UACGUAGGGUGCAAGCGUUAAUCGGAAUUACUGGGCGUAAAGCGUGCGCAGGCGGUUGUGCAAGACAGAUGUGAAAUCCCCGGGCUUAACCUGGGAAUUGCAUUUGUGACUGUACGGCUAGAGUGUGUCAGAGGGGGGUAGAGUUCCACGUGUAGCAGUGAAAUGCGUAGAGAUGUGGAGGAAUACCGAUGGCGAAGGCAGCCCCCUGGGAUAACACUGACGCUCAUGCACGAAAGCGUGGGGAGCAAACAGG
rnacentral:rRNA from 1 species